CCUACGGGAGGCAGCAGUGGGGAAUAUUGCACAAUGGGGGAAACCCUGAUGCAGCGACGCCGCGUGAGCGAGGAAGUAUUUCGGUAUGUAAAGCUCUAUCAGCAGGGACGAAAAAAGACGGUACCUGACUAAGAAGCCCCGGCUAACUACGUGCCAGCAGCCGCGGUAAUACGUAGGGGGCAAGCGUUAUCCGGAUUUACUGGGUGUAAAGGGAGCGUAGACGGCAAGGCAAGCCAGAAGUGAAAGGGCAGGGCUCAACCCUGUACAUGCUUUUGGAACUGUGGUGCUAGAGUGCAGGAGAGGUAAGUGGAAUUCCUAGUGUAGCGGUGAAAUGCGUAGAUAUUAGGAGGAACACCAGUGGCGAAGGCGGCUUACUGGACUGUAACUGACGUUGAGGCUCGAAAGCGUGGGGAGCAAACAGGAUUAGAUACCCUUGUAGUC
rnacentral:rRNA from 1 species